CGUGCUUUUGUUUUGAAGUCCGAAAACCGGAAGUGGUCCCCUCUCGGAACCAUUUUGCGUCUCGUCGUCUCGUGUUCCUGAGAAAGCGUGUGAGCUCCAGCUGAUCCAUGGAGCGCCCCCUGCUGUCCGCGGUGCUCCAGCCUCAGCUCCAGGUCCACAGAGCAGACGUCCAGCAGCUGCUGGUUAAAGAAGAGGUUCCCCCUGAGCAGCAGGAGUGGAGCUCCAGUCUGGACCAGGAGGACCC